rnacentral:rRNA from 1 species
GACGAACGCUGGCGGCGUGCUUAACACAUGCAAGUCGAACGGAAAGGCCCUGCUUUUGUGGGGUGCUCGAGUGGCGAACGGGUGAGUAACACGUGAGUAACCUGCCCUUGACUUUGGGAUAACUUCAGGAAACUGGGGCUAAUACCGGAUAGGAGCUCCUGCUGCAUGGUGGGGGUUGGAAAGUUUCGGCGGUUGGGGAUGGACUCGCGGCUUAUCGGCUUGUUGGUGGGGUAGUGGCUUACCAAGGCUUUGACGGGUAGCAGGCCUGAGAGGGUGACCGGCCACAUUGGGACUGAGAUACGGCCCAGACUCCUACGGGAGGCAGCAGUGGGGAAUAUUGCACAAUGGGCGGAAGCCUGAUGCAGCAACGCCGCGUGCGGGAUGACGGCCUUCGGGUUGUAAACCGAUUUCGCCUGUGACGAAGCGUGAGUGACGGUAAUGGGUAAAGAAGCACCGGCUAACUACGUG